AGAACGAACGCUGGCGGCAGGCCUAACACAUGCAAGUCGAACGCACGUACCCGUAAGCUUGGAUCCCGGGAGUAUCGCGUGGGAACGUGCCCUUCUCUACAGAAUACUCCUGGGAAACUGGGGAUAAUACCGGAAACCCCCUUUUGGGCAAAGAUUUAUCCUACAAGGAUCGGCCCGCGAUGGAUUAAGUAGUUGGUGGUGUAAUGGCUCACCAACCCGACGAUCCUUAGCUGGUUUGAGGAGGAGAUCAGCCACACUGGGACUGAGACACGGCACAUACUCCUACGGGAGGCAGCAGUGGAGAAUCUCAGACUACGGGGGCAACCCUGAUCGAGCCAUGCCGCGAUGAUUGAUGAAAGCCUUAAGGUUGUAAAGCUCUUUCAGCUGUGAAGAUCAUGACGGUGUCCAGCCCAAUAAGUCCCGGCUAACUCCUUGCCAUCAGCCCCGGUAAUACUGAACGGACUAGCGUUGUUCAGAAUUACUGGGCGUCAAGCCCACGUACGCGGAUCAAAAAAUUGGGGAUGAAAUCCCCGGACUCACCCCCGGAACUGCCUUCAAAACUAUUGCUCUGGAUUUCAAGAGAAGUGAGUGGACUUCCGAGUGUACAGGUGAAGUUCAUUGAUAUUCUGAGGAACACCAGUGGCGAAGGCGGCUCACUGUCUCGAUACUGACGCUGAAGUGCUCAAGCGUGUGGAGCCAACACGAUGAGAUACCCUGGUACUCCACGCCGUAAACGAUGAAUGCCCGACGUCGCGCAGCAUGCUGUUCGAUGUCACACCUAACGGAUUAUACAUUCUGCCUGGGGAGUACGGUCUCAAGAGGGAACCUCAAAGGAGUUGAGGGGGGGGCGCACAAGCGGUGGAGCAUGUGGUUUAUUUCGAAGCAACGCGCAGAUCGUUCCCAUCCCUUGACAUAGCUGGCCCUCUCCAGAGAUGGAGUUUCCUCUUAAGAGGCUGGGUGACAGGUGCUGCAUGGCUGUUGUCAGCUCGUGUCCUGAGAUGUUCGCUUAAGUCCGGCAUCGAGCGCAACCCACGUUCGUAGUUUCCAGCAUUCAGUUGGGCACUAAUAUGGAAACAGGCGAGGAUAAGUCGGAGGAAGGUGUGGCCGACGUCAAGUGGUCAUGGCCCUUACGGGAUGGGAUACACACAGUGGUUCAAAGGUGGUGACAAUGGGUUAAUCCCCAAAAGCCUUUUCAGUUCGGGUUGUGGUUUGCAAAUUGGGGGCAUGAAGUUGGGAAUGCUAGUAAUUGCGUAAUAGCAUGUGGUGGGGAUGAAUGUUUUCGGGGGUUGUGUACACCGCGCGUGUCACCACAGGAGAGUUUGCUG
rnacentral:rRNA from 1 species